UGAUAAGUUGCAUCUGGGAUGGUUCAGUCUCAGGAGGCUCGGGGGAGACCUGAUUGCCCUCUACAACUCCCUGAAAGGAGGCUGUGGUGAGCCUCGUAUCAUCAGCUGACAAAGCCCUGCAGUCAUGCUGCUGUGAGCAGAGAUGCCCGAUCCUCUGAGGAGAUGCAGGCUUCAGCACCAAACCUCUGCCUGGUCCUGAUGGGCUCUCGUGGAGCACAGACCUUCGUGUUGGAGGUGGGAGAGCACCUUGUGGUGCAGCAGCUGCUGAAAGCCCUGACAUCCCAAUGAGGGAUGGAUGAGAAAGCCCAUACUCAUGCGAUGGGUGAAGGCAUGGGCCAGCUGAGGGUGGGAUGACAUAGGGCCAGGGCCCUGGGGACUGCUGCCACUUGAGUUAAGGUGC
ensembl:lncRNA